CAUCUAUUAUCGAUGCACGCCAUGUUUCGGGUCCACUAGGGUGAUUCAGAACGGAUCGUAUCACACAAACGGUCAACAAAGUUUAUAAUAUUUCAAUCACUUCUAAUGCAACAAAAAUGUAAACAAAUUUUUUUUUGAAAAAAUUACAAAGAUUUUAUAAAAUUCUUGAGAACACCGAUAAAUCAUAUAUCUUGUAACCGUGAAAUCCUCCUUUGCUGAAUUCGUCCACGACCCUCAAACCCUUCUCCUUCAGUACCUUGGCAAGCUCAAUUUGACGGUCGAAGAGUAGAUCUCCCUCACAUCCUGUGAUCAAGAUUUUCUACCCUUGCUUCUUGAUACGUUCCAGAACCUCUGAUUUCAUUCCCACCGUUAGAUUACAAUACUCGUGAUCACGGUAAACACCUAUUGGCAAUGCCAGCUCUGGGGUAAAACGAUACUCCGAUCACACUAUCACUGUCGGUAUUUCAAUCGCCACUUUUCAGCAAAAUUCAUGAAACAUGGUACUAGUUGCACUGAGUAGGACUAACCCGCCACCAUGGUAGUACACUGUAACCGACAGUUUCUCAGUCGGGUCAGAAUCGAAUACUUUACGAGGAAAGAAUACACAGACCCAAGUUGUGUUUGAUUCAUUAACAGGGAUGUCCUUGAUUAGAACUAGACUAGAAUCAUUAGGAUUAGAACAAGUAGGAGUAGUGGUUGAAAUUUCAAAUAUACAUGUGAUAGAUUCGUCGGGGUUUUUGGCCAUGCCUAUAUAGCCAUAUGGAUAAACAAUCGGGUCCAUUUGAUUCGAUAUGGUAGAGUGGUGAUGCAGUUGACUUGGUGUGGAUGAAGAUUUUGAAGUAUUCUUAAUUAUAAGUGAAG
rnacentral:lncRNA from 1 species